CUUUGAGGCUGGCAGAAUGAUGGAGAAGUGAUACUGAUUGUGUGAAAGCAACCCCUUCAGCCAACUCCUGUCUUCCUGGGAAGGCCCCUGGGAGAAACAGCUGAAGUUGAAGCGGAAGAGUUCGAAUGCCUUGCCGAGACCAUUCUGCUGGAGGAACACAGCUUCAGGCCUACUGGUUUCACAUCAAAUUCUUGACUGAUGACCUUGCUUCCU